CAUCACUGCGCCAACGCGUGUGGCUACAAGCGAUUGUACCUCGCGCGCACUGCAGGGUGACGUCACAAAACGAGUUGUUCGUGUAGCUGUGAGUUGCCGGUUAGAUAUCUGAAGCGUCUGGUCAGCACCUCAACGAACGAGCUCAGAAGGCAACUGAAAAAUAUCUGUGUGAGCGACUGGCUGAAGCCGUGAAGCACUGGUGCUUCUGGUUAUCUCCUUGUGCAACGUAAAUACGGGCCAAUUUUCCUGAGAAAAGUGCUUCACAAAGGCAUGCUAUCCCCAAAACAGGUGCAAGAUAUCUAGGAGUUUUAGAAUGUCAGUUUGCAACGGGGAGUUAAGUGAAAACCAAGUUUCCGAGCGUAGCAAAGAACGAGGUGUUCGAUUUGGUUCUGAAGAGAUGGAGGAAGAAAUAGUUAGCGUUCGUAACAUAUCCAUUACAGAAGCUAAACCUUUUGGUGAAGAAGAAUCUGAGGUAAAUUUGCUAUUCAAAAUUA